rnacentral:rRNA from 1 species
GAUGAACGCUGGCGGCGUGCCUAAUACAUGCAAGUCGAGCGAACAGACGAGGAGCUUGCUCCUCUGACGUUAGAGGCGGACGGGUGAGUAACACGUGGAUAACCUACCUAUAAGACUGGGAUAACUUCGGGAAACCGGAGCUAAUACCGGAUAAUAUAUUGAACCGCAUGGUUCAAUAGUGAAAGACGGUUUUGCUGUCACUUAUAGAUGGAUCCGCGCCGCAUUAGCUAGUUGGUAAGGUAACGGCUUACCAAGGCAACGAUGCGUAGCCGACCUGAGAGGGUGAUCGACCACACUGUAACUGAGACACGUUCCAGACACCGACGGGAGGCAGCAGUAGGGAAUCUUCCGCAAUGGGCGAAAGCCUGACGGAGCAACGCCGCGUGAGUGAUGAAGGUCUUCUGAUCGUAAAACUCUGUUAUUAGGGAAGAACAAAUGUGUAAGUAACUAUGCACGUCUUGACGGUACCUAAUCAGAAAGCCACGGCUAACUACGUG